rnacentral:rRNA from 1 species
AACGAACGCUGGCGGCAGGCCUAACACAUGCAAGUCGAGCGGGCAUCCUUCGGGAUGUUAGCGGCGGACGGGUGAGUAACGCGUGGGAACGUGCCCUUUGCUACGGAAUAGCCUCGGGAAACUGAGAGUAAUACCGUAUGUGCCCUUCGGGGGAAAGAUUUAUCGGCAAAGGAUCGGCCCGCGUUGGAUUAGGUAGUUGGUGGGGUAAUGGCCUACCAAGCCGACGAUCCAUAGCUGGUUUGAGAGGAUGAUCAGCCACACUGGGACUGAGACACGGCCCAGACUCCUACGGGAGGCAGCAGUGGGGAAUCUUAGACAAUGGGGGAAACCCUGAUCUAGCCAUGCCGCGUGAGCGAUGAAGGCCUUAGGGUUGUAAAGCUCUUUCAGUGGGGAAGAUAAUGACGGUACCCACAGAAGAAGCCCCGGCUAACUCCGUG